AAUCAAAUAAUCAAACAAUCAAACAAUCCAACAUUCUAAAAACAUUUCAUUAUAAAAAUUAAUUAAAAUCAAAUUAAUGGCAACCGUUAAGCAAAAUUCUGUGCAGGUUGCCAGAGGAGGGAGUCAGGCUGCGCCCUGACCAAAGGCCUGGUGGAACAGCUCUGUCUUGCAGGCCCUGCGGAAAGAUGUCAGCGUUCCACCAGAUUGGAGCCGCAGCCGAGAAAGCCCUGGCUCUAGUUGAGGCCAGCCUAACCUCUCUGUGGCCUGGGACCUUCAGGAUGUUUUUAUUUGCAGACCGUAGGUUCCUCUGUGGGGCAUACCA